rnacentral:rRNA from 1 species
UACGUAGGGUGCGAGCGUUGUCCGGAAUUAUUGGGCGUAAAGAGCUCGUAGGCGGCUUGUCGCGUCGACUGUGAAAACCCGCGGCUCAACUGCGGCCUGCAGCCGAUACGGGCAGGCUAGAGUUCGGUAGGGGAGACUGGAAUUCCUGGUGUAGCGGUGAAAUGCGCAGAUAUCAGGAGGAACACCGGUGGCGAAGGCGGGUCUCUGGGCCGAUACUGACGCUGAGGAGCGAAAGCGUGGGGAGCGAACAGG